UACGUAGGGUGCGAGCGUUAAUCGGAAUUACUGGGCGUAAAGCGUGCGUAGGUGGUUUGUUAAGUCUGAUGUGAAAGCCCUGGGCUCAACCUGGGAAUUGCAUUGGAUACUGGCAGGCUAGAGUGCGGUAGAGGAUGGCGGAAUUCCCGGUGUAGCAGUGAAAUGCGUAGAUAUUGGGAAGAACACCGGUGGCGAAGGCGGCUCUCUGGACCGUAACUGACGCUGAGGCGCGAAAGCGUGGGGAGCAAACAGG
rnacentral:rRNA from 1 species